GACGAAGGAUGCAAGCGUUAUCCGGAUUCAUUGGGUUUAAAGGGUGCGUAGGCGGACUGAUAAGUCAGUGGUGAAAUCUCUCAGCUUAACUGAGAAACUGCCAUUGAUACUGUCAGUCUAGAGUAUAGAUGACGUUGGCGGAAUAUGACAUGUAGUGGUGAAAUACUUAGAUAUGUCAUAGAACACCGAUUGCGAAGGCAGCUAACGAAACUAUAACUGACGCUGAGGCACGAAAGUGCGGGGAUCAAACAGG
rnacentral:rRNA from 1 species